ensembl:lncRNA
CUGUCCUGCUGGGAAAAGCUGCAUCCACCAGUGACAUGCUGCUCAAACUGGCCCAGGACACACUCUUACUACCUAAGAAAUAAGCCCCACAUUUGCUCUUUGUGGGUAAAAGGAGAGGGUGAGAGAGGAGGGGAGUGUCCGCACAGACAUGAGAAGCCUGCAGAUCCAGAUGAUCCCUUGCUGAUCAGAAUAAGAAAGAUCGACUUGUGAAAACAAUGACCCCGCAGCAGAUGAGCUUCUAAAGCAGGCUUCAACCAUGCAUCAUCUGGACCCACUGGUGGAGAAGUCUGCCCCGACUCUGUUGAUGGUCUGGGGGAUACCAUUACUGAGACAGAUUUAAGAAAUAAUCUCUACCAGUUGGCGAGAUCUGGAUGGUGACUUGUGCGAGACAGCAGUGUGCUCUCAUCAGCUUUCCACAGGGCAGGCUGUGGAAAUGGUGCUGAGAAGUCCUUUUGUAAAUUGAUUGUCCAUGGCUGUAGACUUACCAUCAAAUGGAAGAAGAUUCCAAGCUCUCAAAGAAAAGGAAAAAAGAGAAGGAUGGAACCACAGACUCUGGGAUCCUGCCAGAGCCUAUUUCAGUGCUGCCAGGAGCUCCUCCUCCGCCUGCAGCUCUGGUCCCCACCUUGGAGCCUCCUUCCAAGGAGCUCAGUUCCAGGAAUGCUGAGAAGUGCCCAGUACAGCGAGGAUGCACCUGGAGCCCAUCCUGUCUAAUGGACUGACCAUCCUGCAUCCACCUGCCUCUCCUGCAUAUCGGCCACCACCGCUUCCCUUUUUCUCAUUUCUCCAUCGUGUCUGACCCAGAGUCUGCGACCCUCUCUCCAGCCCCAGUGGCCCUUCUUUUCCCUUGUCCUGUCAGAGCCCCUGAUCAAGACUCCCCAGAUCCAUCCACAUGCCUGGCUUGUCCACUUACUAAUUGUGUUGCUCUGCACUGCCGGGGUGGCACCAGAGGCAAUGAGGGUGACUGAGGGCCCCACAGGUGGCCAGCUUUGCCGUUUACCCCAUCCCUAGCCUCAGGGGGUUCUCAUGGCUGUCAGCCAGCGGCCCUGGCUUGGGGCACCUGGCUGUCCUCCUCCCACUGUUCUGACUCAGCCUCGCCCACCUGUCCUCUGUCCGUGGUGCUGACCAAGCCAGCAGGUAGCAGGUCCCCACAGGGUGCUGCUGGGCUUUGGGGACCCACCGAGGCUCCUCUGCUGAGGGUUCCCAGGUGAGUCGCUGCCCCUGGUUCUACAUCAUCUGCUGUCCUCUUCAGCAUCAUCCACCCCACCCCAGGCCGGCUCCAUGCAGGUGCAUCCCCGAGUCACCAGUCUCAGGGCCCUCUGUUGUAGGAUGGAGAUUACUGUACCUUUUGUACACAUUCAUAUUUAUUGUGUGAAAUAAAGUAUAGAAGCUAAAGUAAAUGAGGACUUUGGUUUGCAUUUUCCUGAUGAUCACUGAUGUUGAGCACUUGUUAGCCAUUUUUAUAUAUUUUUUAAAAGAUAAAUAUCUAUUCAGGUUCUUUGCUUGUUUUUAAAUCAGGUUAUUAGAUUUUGGUGAGUUUUCUCUCUUCUUUUCUAUUCAGUUGUGUGGCUUCUUAUGUAUUUUGAUUUUCACCCCUUAUGAGAUAUAUUGUUAGCAAAUAUUUUCUCUGAGGUUAUAAGCUGCUUUUUAAUUUCAUUGAUUGAUUUCUCCUGUGCAGAAGCUUUAGGGUUAGAUAUACUCCUACUUGUAUUUUUGUUUUUUGUUGCUUGUGUUUUUAAUGUCGUAUUUAAUAAAUUAUUAUCUGAACCAAUGUCAAGGAGCAUUUGCCC